GACGAACGCUGGCGGCGUGCCUAACACAUGCAAGUCGAGCGGGAACCUCAGGAGGGGUAACCCUUCUGAGGGGAGAGCGGCGAACGGGUGAGUAACACGUGGCAACCUGCCCCGGACACCGGGAUAACCCAGGGAAACCUGAGCUAAUACCGGAUGCUCCGGCGUGAUCGCAUGGUCGCGCCGGGAAAGCUCCGACGGUCCGGGAUGGGCCCGCGGCCUAUCAGCUUGUUGGUGGGGUAACGGCCCACCAAGGCGACGACAGGUAGCUGGUCUGAGAGGACGGCCAGCCACACUGGGACUGAGACACGGCCCAGACUCCUGCGGGAGGCAGCAGUGGGGGAUCUUGCGCUAAUGCGCGAAAGCGUGACGCAGCGACGCCGCGUGGGGGAUGAAGGCCCUCGGGUUGUAAACCCCUUUCGGCAGGGACGAAGGGAAACUGACGGUACCCGCAGAAGAAGUCCCGGCUAACUACGUGCCAGCCGCCGCAGUAACAC
rnacentral:rRNA from 1 species